GACGAACGCUGGCGGCGUGCCUAAUACAUGCAAGUCGAACGAAGUGGCGAACGGGUGAGUAACGCGUAAUCAACCUGCCCUUCAGAGGGGGAAAACAGUUGGAAACGACUGCUAAUACCGUAUACUGAAGGAGGGGAGUGCGUCUGAUUAGCUAGUUGGAGGGGUAACGGCCCACCAAGGCGAUGAUGAGUAGCCGGUCUGAGAGGAUGAACGGCCACAUUGGGACUGAGACACGGCCCAGACUCCUACGGGAGGCAGCAGUGGGGAAUCUUCCGCAAUGGACGGAAGUCUGACGGAGCAACGCCGCGGGAGUGAUGACGGCCUUCGGGUUGUAAAGCUCUGUUAUUCGGGACGCGGUACCGAAAUAGAAAGCCACGGCUAACUACGUGCCAGCAGCCGCGGUAAUAC
rnacentral:rRNA from 1 species